rnacentral:rRNA from 1 species
GUCUCUGGCCAUGCUACCCUGAACAAGCCCAAUCCCGUCUGUUCUCAGAAGCUAAGCAGGGUCAGACCUGGUUAGUACUUGGAUGGGAGACCACCUAGGAAGACCUGGUGCUGUAGGCA